GUAAAAUCUAUGUUUCUUAUGUUUGCAGUUUAUUUUUAAUUGUCUUGGGAAAUAAGUGCUUUAAAUAUCAUGUUAAAAAGGGAAAUGUAUUGAUUUUAUCCCCCCAGAUACCUUCACAUUUAUAUUUGUACGUUAUGGUUCAUUAAUUGUGAGUCACAGCAAGCAGUAAAUGUUGAUUAUACUCUGAUUUUAUGCUGUGCAAUUGAAAAAGUAUAUAUCGGCAGUUUUCUAAUAUACAAGCAGAACCAGUACAAACUUUGCAUAUCAAAGGCUCCGAAAAGUAUAUCCCCAGAUCUUUUAAAACUACAGCUUCAAUGAUGCUCUGUAAUUUUAAAGGCAUUCCAAAGGCAUCAUCUGGGGCUCUACCUAUUAGAGGCAAAACUGCUGUUCUUUACCAAGAGAUAAUCUUAUUCCAUCUAACAGAUUUUAUCUGUAAGUAUUCCGUCCGUUAAAAGCCUCCUCUCUCCGUCAGUGUUACCAGCUUGUAGAAAAUGUUUGAUAAAAUAUCGGUCUGUGUCAAGAUUAGCCAUCGGUGCCCUUAAAUCUGCAAUCCAGUGUGCUUGUUUAACAAAAUACUGCAACAAUCUUUUCAAAUAAUCAGCAAUAGCCUGUUACAGAGAAUUAUAUAUAUUAUUCUGUUUAUCCCUUUCUAAUUAUAUAUUUUCUUUGCCAUCAGCUCUAGCCAAUCAGUAGCACCCCUACCAGGCAAUGCUCCUCGCUUUCUGAAGCCGAAUUCAGCUAGAGGACCUGGAGAUCAGGUGCUGGAGGCAGCCUUUGGUGAUAAACUGUUAAACAAUAAACGGUUUAACCCAUUAAGGUAAGGUCGUCCGGUGGCCUCCAAGCACCAUAACUUCAUUUAGAUUAAGUUGUUAUGGUGACAGUGACCGGAGUGUUUCUUUUAAUAUAGACUGUUGCUGCAUAAUAUUUUGAUUACCUAAUAUUUUGAUUAUCCAAAUGUGCCAGUUUUACACUUCUAGCCAUACCAAGACCAACAUUGUGUAAUCUCAAUCCAACAAAAGGCUUAACAAUGAUUCAGUUCUAGUAGAAUGAGCAGUCAGUUUCUCUUCUGUCAGUGCACAUCAUGCACCAGUAAAUAAAUACAAACAUGACAUCAAUCUGCUU